rnacentral:rRNA from 1 species
UUGAUCAUGGCUCAGAUUGAACGCUGGCGGCAGGCCUAACACAUGCAAGUCGAACGGUAACAGGAAGCAGCUUGCUGCUUCGCUGACGAGUGGCGGACGGGUGAGUAAUGUCUGGGAAACUGCCUGAUGGAGGGGGAUAACUACUGGAAACGGUGGCUAAUACCGCAUAACGUCGCAAGACCAAAGAGGGGGACCUUCGGGCCUCUUGCCAUCAGAUGUGCCCAGAUGGGAUUAGCUAGUUGGUGAGGUAACGGCUCACCAAGGCGACGAUCCCUAGCUGGUCUGAGAGGAUGACCAGCCACACUGGAACUGAGACACGGUCCAGACUCCUACGGGAGGCAGCAGUGGGGAAUAUUGCACAAUGGGCGCAAGCCUGAUGCAGCCAUGCCGCGUGUAUGAAGAAGGCCUUCGGGUUGUAAAGUACUUUCAGCGGGGAGGAAGGUGUUGUGGUUAAUAACCGCAGCAAUUGACGUUACCCGCAGAAGAAGCACCGGCUAACUCCGUGCCAGCAGCCGCGGUAAUACGGAGGGUGCAAGCGUUAAUCGGAAUUACUGGGCGUAAAGCGCACGCAGGCGGUCUGUCAAGUCGGAUGUGAAAUCCCCGGGCUCAACCUGGGAACUGCAUUCGAAACUGGCAGGCUUGAGUCUUGUAGAGGGGGGUAGAAUUCCAGGUGUAGCGGUGAAAUGCGUAGAGAUCUGGAGGAAUACCGGUGGCGAAGGCGGCCCCCUGGACAAAGACUGACGCUCAGGUGCGAAAGCGUGGGGAGCAAACAGGAUUAGAUACCCUGGUAGUCCACGCCGUAAACGAUGUCUACUUGGAGGUUGUGCCCUUGAGGCGUGGCUUCCGGAGCUAACGCGUUAAGUAGACCGCCUGGGGAGUACGGCCGCAAGGUUAAAACUCAAAUGAAUUGACGGGGGCCCGCACAAGCGGUGGAGCAUGUGGUUUAAUUCGAUGCAACGCGAAGAACCUUACCUGGUCUUGACAUCCACAGAACUUUCCAGAGAUGGAUUGGUGCCUUCGGGAACUGUGAGACAGGUGCUGCAUGGCUGUCGUCAGCUCGUGUUGUGAAAUGUUGGGUUAAGUCCCGCAACGAGCGCAACCCUUAUCCUUUGUUGCCAGCGAUUAGGUCGGGAACUCAAAGGAGACUGCCAGUGAUAAACUGGAGGAAGGUGGGGAUGACGUCAAGUCAUCAUGGCCCUUACGACCAGGGCUACACACGUGCUACAAUGGCGCAUACAAAGAGAAGCGACCUCGCGAGAGCAAGCGGACCUCAUAAAGUGCGUCGUAGUCCGGAUUGGAGUCUGCAACUCGACUCCAUGAAGUCGGAAUCGCUAGUAAUCGUGGAUCAGAAUGCCACGGUGAAUACGUUCCCGGGCCUUGUACACACCGCCCGUCACACCAUGGGAGUGGGUUGCAAAAGAAGUAGGUAGCUUAACCUUCGGGAGGGCGCUUACCACUUUGUGAUUCAUGACUGGGGUGAAGUCGUAACAAGGUAACCGUAGGGGAACCUGCGGUUGGAUCACCUCCUUACCUUAAAGAAGC